AUGCGCAGCAGCACGCCCGCCUGGCCCGCGUGCCUUGCACUGCCUCGUCUCGCAUGCCCCAUUUUCUCUUCCUGGCCCGCGCUUUUUCCAUGGCCCCGAGCCGAGCAACGCUCGAGCUCGAGUGCCCCGCAGCCCUCUGCUUGCCCGCGCUCACCCGCACAUGCGUGCGUGCCCGCGCACGUACAGCAGCUCUCCCGCAAGCCGCGCCGUGCCCACACAGCUCCUGUCGCCGCUCCUCGCCAUGUUGUGCCGCGCCCGAGUCGAGCAUGGGCUCCUGCUCGAGCGUUUGCACGCGCGCGACCGAGACAGGUCGCAUCUUGUUUCAUUGUUACUUUGGGGAGAAAGAAACAGUUGUUAGCCAAGAUGUGGGUGUUCAACAUAUUGGGAUCUUUCUGGGAUCUUCUGAUCAAGAUACGCGCGUUCAAGAUGUUUGGAUCUUUCAAGGAUCUAAAGAUGCUGGCAUUCAUCGGCGGCGUUACGAGUCUGUUUCUUGUGGGUAACAGCGUCUCGGAUCCAUCACCAGUGAUUGAGGCACUCCGCAGCCUCAACGCAACAUCCAUAACGUGCGACGCCAAACAAGUGGCUCAUCACUACAAGAACCUGGCCUUCGAUGUUACUUUUCUCUCCAUCGCAAUGGCCCUCGCAGCUUGUAUUGUUUAUCUUGUCAAGAUCAUCGUUGAUGCCGGUGCCCAUGAAGAAGAGCAGGAGCUACGCGAGGCCGAUCCCACCACUGCCGCGCAGGCUGCCAUUGAUCGCACCCUCGCGGCUAAUGCUUCUAAGGCCGCCUCGGAUGCCGAAGCAGAGGCUGUCCAGGCCGAAGCGGACGCCAAGCGCGUCGCCGCGGAGAUGUGCGCCGCCUUCGACAACGCCCUCAAGGUCAAAGAGAUCGCCAGAUCCGACGCCAAUCAGGCAAUCGAAGCUGCCCAAGCCGCCGAUGAGAAUUUGGCCCAAGCCAAGGCCAACCCUGUCGACGACGUCGUUGCCGCGCAGAAGAGGAUCGAGGACUUGGAGAUGGCUGUCGACGAGGCGGCUAAGGCGGCAACUCAAGCCGAGGAGACAGCUGCAAAGGCGGACAAGGAGCUCGACUUCAUCGACAAGGAUCUCAAGGAAGCAAACGACGAGGUGAAGCGGAAGACCGAUGCGACUCGGGCUGCCAAGAAACACGCCGAGGCUGCAAAGAAGACCGCCGACGCCGCCAAACUCAAGACCGGUAUGGCCCGUUUCCCUCUCUGGAAGAGGUUGAUUUUGCCUGUUUCAGUUUGCCAUCAUAGUAUGCUUGUACGCUUGUGUUGUCGCAAUCUUUUCUUUCACGGAGCUGCUUGA
rnacentral:rRNA from 1 species